rnacentral:rRNA from 1 species
AUUGAACGCUGGCGGCAUGCUUUACACAUGCAAGUCGAACGGUAACAGGCCGCAAGGUGCUGACGAGUGGCGAGCGGGUGAGUAAUGCAUCGGAACGUGCCCAGUCGUGGGGGAUAACGCAGCGAAAGCUGUGCUAAUACCGCAUACGAUCUAUGGAUGAAAGCGGGGGACCGUAAGGCCUCGCGCGAUUGGAGCGGCCGAUGUCAGAUUAGGUAGUUGGUGGGGUAAAGGCCUACCAAGCCAACGAUCUGUAGCUGGUCUGAGAGGACGACCAGCAACACUGGGACUGAGACACGGCCCAGACUCCUACGGGAGGCAGCAGUGGGGAAUUUUGGACAAUGGGCGCAAGCCUGAUCCAGCAAUGCCGCGUGCAGGAAGAAGGCCUUCGGGUUGUAAACUGCUUUUGUACGGAACGAAACGGUCUGGGUUAAUACCCUGGACUAAUGACGGUACCGUAAGAAUAAGCACCGGCUAACUACGUGCCAGCCGCCGCGGUAACAC